ensembl:misc_RNA 7SK 7SK RNA
CUAUAGGGCGAUCUGGCUGCGACUUCUGUCACCCCAUUGAUCGCCAGGGUUGAUUCGGCUGAUCUGGCUGGCUAGGCGGGUGUCCCCUUCCUCCCUCACUGCUCCAUGUGUGUCCAUCCCCAAGCUGCGCGCUCGUUCGAAGAGGACGACCUUCCCGGAUAGAGGAGAGGACCAUUCUUCAGUCAAGGGUAUACAAGUAGCUGCACUCCCCUGCUAGAACCUCCAAACAAGCUCUAUAAACAAAUAAAUAAAAUUCUUAAAAAACAGAUAUUAAGAUAAAAAUUUAAAAAAAGAAAACAUGGUAUAUAU